CAGGCCGCGCAUGUCACCUUGAGUUUCGCUGGCCGCUGACAAGACCUCAAGCUGCCAAGAGCUGCCGCACUAUCCUUCCCCGGCUCCCAUUUUAAUGGAAGGGGUCGCUGGCAGGGCCAGGAGAUUAAGAGCAUGCCCCUUAUUCAGCUUUAUCUCAGCAAGUAUUCAUAGUUUUAGAGUUGCAAGGGACCUUCUCAAAGGGAACAGGCUAAAACCAAGGAAUGUUCAGUGAUUUUUUUCCAAUUUACAGAAUCUUCAGCUUCUGACUCCCAGGCUGAGCUCUUUUCAUUGUCCCCACAAAGCACCAGCCAGUGGACUACUGGUCACUCCUCCUGGCCUGCCGCAGCCUCUGUCCCAUAACAGGGAGCAAACAGCUGUGGCGGCUCAGAGAAUCCGCCAGGUCGUAGCAAUUUAAUCCAGUGCUCUCAUGGGGAUCUGCUGUGAGCAUCUCAUGCAGGGGCUCCGAGCUGCCAGCUUUCCCUCCGAGCUGCCUUCAGCGUCCUGUCCUCGCCCUCACAGCCUGGGAGAUAGGAACAGAAGUACAGCUUGCUACUGGAUAAGAGCACCACCUACUUCGACGAGAGAGGGGAGAUGGCUGAUUUUCCCUCUGCCGGGGGUCCCACUAAAAGCCCCCUGGUACAUAGCUGUAUAUUCUUCAUUGUGGGUCCUUCUAGUUGUGGCAUGUGGGAUGCUGCCUCUGCGUGGUCUGAUGAGCAGUGCCAUGUCCACGCCCAGGAUUCGAACCAACGGAACACUGGGCCACCUGCAACGGAGAGCGCGAACUUAACCACUCGGCCAUGGGGC
rnacentral:lncRNA from 1 species